rnacentral:lncRNA from 14 species
AUGGAAGGGGCGCUCACCGCCAGGGACAAGGUCGGAGUGCAGGACUUUGUGCUAUUGGACGCCUACACCAGCGAAUCCGCCUUCCUGGAGAAUCUUCGCAAGCGUUUCAGAGAGAACCUCAUCUAUACGUAUAUCGGGACGCUGCUCGUGUCUGUGAAUCCGUACCAGGAGCUGGGAAUCUAUACCUCCAGCCAGAUGGAGCUUUAUCAAGGGGUCAAUUUCUUCGAACUACCACCACAUGUCUACGCCAUCGCCGACAACGCUUACCGCAUGAUGUGCUCAGAGCUCAACAACCACUUUAUCCUCAUCUCUGGAGAGAGCGGAGCUGGGAAGACAGAGGCCUCCAAGAAGAUCCUCCAGUACUUGGCAGUGACCUGUCCCAUGACGGAGUCGCUCCAAAUAGCCCGGGACAGGUUGCUGCUCUCCAUCCCAGUCCUGGAGGCUUUCGGAAAUGCCAAGACCCUCCGCAAUGACAACUCCAGCAGAUUUGGAAAAUACAUGGACAUACAGUUCGACUUCCAGGGUGUUCCUGUGGGCGGCCACAUCAUCAGUUACUUGAUUGAAAAAUCCCGAGUCGUCUAUCAGAACCACGGAGAGCGGAAUUUCCACAUCUUCUACCAGCUGCUGGCGGGUGGCAAAUCGGAGCGCCUCGCUUCCCUGGGACUUGAGCGAGACCCUCAGCUGUACAAGUUCCUGUCACAGGUUGGAGAGAGCAGUGCCUGGCUUCGGUGGCCUCUGGGAGGAAGGGGUGAGGGGUGUUUGCUGCUCUGCUUGUACUCUCCUCCAUGAAGUUAGCAUGUCUUCCCUCAUGACUGACGGCUGUCUCAUCUCAGUAAGGCAACCCAGUGUCUCGUUCCCAGCAGAAGGCAGACUCAAUUGUUGAACAAUCUUAGAAACAGAGAGCGCACCACCAGGGGGUAGUGAGCAGUGACCUCUUACAUGCAAGUCCCUGGGUUCAAAACCUAGCACUAGGAGAAGAAACAGAUGUUGGAGCUGACCUUCGAAUAUUUAGAUUCAGUCCUUCCAGGGUGGGAAGGGGCUAUCAGAGCUGUUUAAAAUUUAAGCUCCCUUGUUAAGGGGACUCAGCUCGGUGGUAAAGUCCCUGCUGAGGAUGUGCAAGGUCCAGGGUUCGAGUCCCAGUCAAACACCCUCCCCUUAAGUCUGACACACAGUCAGGGUUAGCUACCACACAGCUCCUGAGGUGUUAGGCAUGGCUGUUCCUCUUUGCCACAUCAACUGAUCUGAAAAGAACUCUCCGCUUUGAGAGCUCAGUUGCAAACAGAAAAGAGCCCUGACCGUUCCCUCCAGUGGGCCUGGGAGCUAGCUCACUGUUGAUGGACCAUCAGCAUUUAACUCCCAUCUUUCUGCAACCUGUGAUGGGAUUGGAAGACGCCCGGGCUGGGGGAAGCAUUAGAUCCCAUUAGUACCUUCCUUUAUAUUCUGUUUCCUUCUCACUGGGCCUGGCCUUUGAGGUCACCUGAGGUCACCAUGCGGAAUGCAGAGGAGAGACAGAGACAGAGAGAGAGGGAGAGAGACAGAGCUGGCAUCUGGUCCUCAGAACAGAGGAGGACUUGGUUUGUUUUGCAUUUCUCUUUAAGGACCCAGGCUUUCCCAGCGCGGCCACACAUCUCCCAUCUCCAUGUGUGAUCCAGAGGGAUGGGUUAGAUAAGAGUAAAAUGGCAGAAACCUCCCUCACUUCCCCCAGCAACUUUUCUUCCCCUUGAGACUCUCAUCUCUAUUCUGGGGGCUCACAGAAAGACACAGGCGUGCACACAGAGAGACACAGGUGUGCACACAGAGAGAAAUAUACACACAGAGAGACACAGGUGUGCAGAGAGAGAGAGAGAGACAUACAUGCACACAGAGAGACACAAGGGUGCAUACAGAGAGAGACAUACACAUAGAGAGACACAGGUGUGCACACAGAGAGAAAUAUAUACAGAGAGUGACACAGGC